CGUAAGGCCUUAAGGCAAUGGUGCGCUUAUGAAUCGUGUCAGGUUCGGAAGAAAGCAGCACUAAGUAGGAUGCGUCAUGUGCCUUUUGUUAUUUUGAAUUU
rfam:Lactobacillus rennini DSM 20253 NODE_91, whole genome shotgun sequence.